rnacentral:tRNA from 1 species
GCCGUUGAGGUGUAACAGGAAAUGCACAUCAGUCUUCCACACUGACAGAGCGGGUUCGAGUCCCGUCAACGGCUCCA